AACGAACGCUGGCGGCACGCCUAACACAUGCAAGUCGAACGAGACCAUCGGGACUAGUGGCGCACGGGUGCGUAAAGCAUGGGAACCCGCCCUUAGGUUCGGAAUAACUUCCCGAAAGGGGCGCUCAUAACGGAAUAUCUUCUCGGAACAAAGAUUUAUAGCCUUUGGAUGGGCCCGCGUUCGAUUAGCUAGUUGGUAGGGUAAAAGCCUACCAAGGCGACGAUCCAUAGCUGGUCUGAGAGGAUGAUCAGCCACACUGGGACUGAGACACGGCCCAGACUCCUACGGGAGGCAGCAGUGGGGAAUAUUGGACAAUGGGCGAAAGCCUGAUCCAGCAAUGCCGCGUGAGUGAUGAAGGCCUUAGGGUUGUAAAGCUCUUUUACCCGGGAUGAUAAUGACAGUACCGUGAGAAUAAGCUCCGGCUAACUCCGUG
rnacentral:rRNA from 1 species